rnacentral:rRNA from 1 species
GCGGAGCUGUUGGGGGUGGCACAAGCUAGGGGGUAGCGACUGUUUACCAAAAACACAGGAGCGUGCGAAGGCGUAAGCCGCUGUAUACGCUCUGACGCCUGCCCGGUGCCGGAAGGUUAAGAGGAUCCGUUAGCUUCGGUGAAGCGGUGAAUUUAAGCCCCGGUAAACGGCGGUGGUAACUAUAACCAUCCUAAGGUAGCGAAAUUCCUUGUCGGGUAAGUUCCGACCUGCACGAAUGGCGUAACGACUUCCCCACUGUCUCGGCCAGGAGCCCGGCGAAAUUGCAGUACGAGUAAAGAUGCUCGUUAAGCGCAGAAGGACGAAAAGACCCCGGGACCUUUACUAUACCUUGGUAUUGUCGUUAGGUGUGGAUCGUGUAGCAUAGGCGGGAGGCUGUGAAGCGUGGGCGCUAGCUUGCGUGGAGUCGAUCAGUGAAAUACCGCUCUUUCCAUAUCUGGCGUCUAACCUCGACACGUUAUCCGUGUUAGGGACAGUGCCUGGCGGGUAGUUUAACUGGGGCGGUUGCCUCCUAAAGAGUAACGGAGGCGCUCAAUGGUCCGCUCAGCCCGGUUGGCAAUCGGGUGUUGAGUGUAAUCGCACAAGCGGGCUUGACUGUGAGACUGACGGGUCGAGCAGGGACGAAAGUCGGAGAUAGUGAUCCGGUGCCGGCGUACGGACGUGGCAUCGCUCAACGGAUAAAAGGUACCCCGGGGAUAACAGGCUGAUCAUUCCCAAGAGUCCAUAUCGACGGGAUGGUUUGGCACCUCGAUGUCGGCUCGUCGCAUCCUGGGGCUGGAGCAGGUCCCAAGGGUUCGGCUGUUCGCCGAUUAAAGCGGCACGCGAGCUGGGUUCAGAACGUCGUGAGACAGUUUGGUCUCUAUCCUCUGCGCUCGUUGGAAUGUUGAGGAGACCUGCCCAUAGUACGAGAGGACCUGGGUGGACGAACCUCUGGUAUGCCGGUCGUCACGCCAGUGGCGCUGCCGGUUAGCUACGUUUGGAAGGGAUAACCGCUGAAAGCAUCUAAGCGGGAAGCCUGCUCCAAGAUUAGCAUUCCUUGCACUUUGUGUGUGAGCCCCCAUGUAGAACACGUGGUUGAUAGGCUGGAUGUGGAAGCCCUGUAAGGGGUGGAGCUGACCAGUACUAAUGGGCGAUUGUGA